rnacentral:rRNA from 1 species
UACGAAAGGGGCUAGCGUUGUUCGGAAUUACUGGGCGUAAAGCGCACGUAGGCGGCCUUGUAAGUUGGGGGUGAAAUCCCGGAGCUCAACUCCGGAACUGCCUCCAAAACUACAAAGCUCGAGGAUGUGAGAGGAGAGUGGAAUUCCGAGUGUAGAGGUGAAAUUCGUAGAUAUUCGGAGGAACACCAGUGGCGAAGGCGACUCUCUGGCACAAUUCUGACGCUGAGGCGCGAAAGCGUGGGGAGCAAACAGG